UAGCCGUCUCUAGCUCUCUGCGUCUACUUUCUCCAUCGCAGCCCAGCGGCCAGCGCCCCAGCUCGACGGUGCCUCCACCGGACCAUCGCUCACCGCCUCCAUCGACCAUCGCUCGCAGGAUCGCAGCCCAGCGCCUCCACCAACCACCGCAGCCAACCGCCUCCACCGGCCACCGCAGUACAGUCGCCUCCCAUGAAGCGUUCCGGCGGACGAUCUCCGAUCCCUUUGUCACAGUCAUAGGAGUGUGAUGUAUCUGUUGAGAUGGAAGAGAGAGAUACACCAAAUGAUUCUUCAAUACUCGAUGAGACACCCGUGGACUCUCCCAUUGAAUUGACUACUAACAAUAAUGAAGGUGCACCGAGUGGUCCUAGUGAUCAAAGUGUCGGUUCAAAAAGAUUAAAAUCUGUGGUAUGGAAGCAUUUUACCAAAAAGAUAGUUAACGAUGUGGAUAAAGCAGAGUGCAACUAUUGCAAAAAAUUGCUUGGGGGACAAAGUAAAAAUUGAACAAAGCAUCUUCAUGAUCAUCACAGGUCCUGCAAGAUGAAAAUGGGGGACAAACGUUGUUAUAACAACAAUGGACGACGAAGGGAAAAAUUGGUUUAUCUACUUUCAAGUUUAAUCCUGAAGUUACUAUGCGGGAGUUUGCCUGCAUGAUCAUUAUGCAUGAAUAUCCUCUUGCAAUUGUUGAUCAUGCAGGAUUUAGAAGGUAUACAACUAGUCUUCAACCAGUGUUGGACAUACCUUCUCGAAAUACAGUUAAUGCCGACACUUUGAAGAUCUAUGAGGCUGAAAAAUCCCAGAUUAUGACACUUUUGAGCACAAAUUCAAGUAGGAUUACUUUAACUACAGAUAUGUGGACAACUUCAAAUCAAAAGAAAGGCUACAUGGCAAUCACUGUAAUUUUAUUGAUAAUGAUUGGAAACUACAAAGUAUGCUUAUGAGGUAUAUUUAUUGUUUUCUAAUAUAAUGUCUUUAGUUAUUUUCGUUCUUUAAAA